ensembl:ncRNA Y23H5A.9 ncRNA
ACAAUUUUACUCAUAAAAGCUUUUUACAAAUACAAAAAUAAAUAAAAUAAAGUCGAGAAAAGAGACAAAUCAUUGAUAGAACACACGAAUUGCGAGGCGACGU